AUGGCUGAAGAGUCUAGUUGGAUUGUGACUCUGGUGAAGGGUCCUACUUGGACUAAGACUUUGGGGGAGAGUCCCACUAGGACCGAGACUCUAUCAUUUAUGGAAAAUUAAUUAGUAAUUAGAUUACUAAUUGACUCAAUUUGAUUGAGUAAAGAGCUUUGGAAUAAGUCUAAUUGAAUUAGAUUCAGUUCGACUCAGAUUGGGAUUGAUAUAAUC
rnacentral:lncRNA from 1 species